rnacentral:lncRNA from 1 species
CAGAGAAGGAGGGCGAUUGUUUCUUUGGUGCUCUGGCACUUGCGGGCCUGGGAUUGGGGUGGGCGCUUCCUUACUCUGGGAAAAGGGCGGAGCCUAGAGAAAGAUCAAGGUUUUUCCUAUACCUGAGGGUCGGGAGGGGGAAGAGGCAGGUUUUAUUCCAUGAGGACUGUCACUUUCCCAUGUAUUCAGAGAAAGAAAUCAGUGGGUUUUAAAAUUUUUAAUUUUUGAAAGUAAUUCAUUUUUAAAGUAAUUAAGGAUAAUGAGUUUGACAGCCCAGGGCCUGGCCUAUGGUAUGUGUUCAGUGUAUGCGUGCUGAGGAUUGAUGCAUAGAUGGAUGGAUGGGUGAACGAACGGCAAGUUCCCACCUCAGGGCGUCACCCUAUUUGAUUUAAGGAGAGGCACUGACUUGUUCUCUCCCCUACAGAGGCCCCCCGGGAGGUGCUGCUGCAUCUGCUGGUGGAAGAGACGCGCUCAGGAGAGGCAGAGGUGGUCCUGCAGGCCUCUGGCUGUCACCAACCCUCCCGAGCUUUCUGGGCCCGGGAAGGCAGGCCCCUGGCUCCGGGAGGCGGGGGACGCCUGCGGCUCAGCGGGGAUGGGUGCAGACUCCUCAUUGGCAACUUCAGCCUGGACUGGGACCUGGGAAAUUACUCCGUGCUGUGCAGCGGGGUGCUGGGUGCGGGGGGCGACCAGAUCACCCUCAUUGGCCCUUCCAUUUCCUCCUGGAGGCUGCAGAGAGCCCGAGGCGCAGCAGUGCUGACUUGGGAUGUGGAGCGCGGGGCCCUGAUCAGUGGCUUUGAGAUCCAGGCGCGCACAGAGGGGGCCGACCUCAGCAGGGCAACCGCUUACAGGAACUGGGUCUCCCUGCUAGUCCUGGGGCCGCAGGAGCGGUCAGCCGUGCUGUCUCUCCCUCCUGGGAGCCCCAGGACCUGGGCUUUGCGCAUCCUGCCCCUGCUGGGGACUCAUCCAGGGACUCCAUCACAAAUCCGACUCUACCAGGCAGGUCCCAUCCUGGGCCCUGGGGCCAUCAUUGGCAUUGUCCUGGGCUCUCUCCUGGGCAUGGCCCUGCUGGUCACACUCAUUCUCCUGUGUGUCUGCUGCCUGCUGCACUGUAGAGGAAAGUCUCCUAAUUUGGAAAAGAAAUAUCCCCCGACCUCGGCGCCUGUGGUCUUCACCCCAGAAAAGGAGACGUGUGGUGUGACCCCAGUGCAGACCCCACAACUGCCGCCCUUCACAUUUCUGCAGGAAGACCCCAGCCCAGCCAGGGCCCAUCCAGCCGCCGGCCCCAAGACCCCCAAGACUGUCAUCACUCCAGCUGGGGGCCCCAAAACUGUCCGAGCAGCCACGCAGGUGUGAUCCGCACCAGGAGCCCCCUCUGCGCUAGGAAUUUGGGGCCAAGACUUCCUGUUUUGCUCCGUAUCCAGUAGGGCCUGCUGUGCCUGGGAGUUGGACCCCAAAAGUGAGACUCCUAUCUUCCCCUCUUGUUGGAGAAGACUCAGCCUGUGUCUGUGCAACUACGCAGUGUGGUCUGCACAACCGAGGCCCCACAGCAGCCAGGCCGGCCUGCUGCGCUGCUCCCGGCUGGUAGAGGAACCUGGCUGGGUCUCUGGCUGCACUUCCUCCUCCACUUCUGGCACAGCUCCCAGAGACUUCAUCCUAAGGCAGAUCAGAUCACCUCCCUGUCCUUUUCAAGGCUUCCAGGGCUGUAAGCUGCCCUUCAGGCGUUAUCCACACCCUCCUCCUGACCUGCAAGGUCUCCUGGUUUGGCCUGGCCUGUGUCGCCGCCCGUGACCUCCCUUCCUGAGACUGACACCUCCUCGGGGACACAGGCUUUCUCCCAGCCUUGCUUCUGCUCCCACCAGCGCUUUGCCAGGGCACUUCUCCUCCUGCGGCUCACUCUGCGAGGUCAAGGCCACCAUGCCUAUCUCAGGAGACCUUUUCCUUUACCUUGGUCAUAGGUUCAGUCCCAGCAUCCCUGAACUUCCCCUGCUCAUGUGCAGGGAUAUAAUUCCUCCAGUAGCUCAGAUCCCCUCAACAAAAGUUCACGAAGACGAAAACCACACCAUUAUCUGAGCACUUAACGCAGGGCCUGGCACACACCAGACAAUCCAUACACAUUUGCUGAUUGAUCAAGCGCUUUGGUGCCAGUCAAGAGAGCUGCCUGUGUCCUCCCCAGCACGAUGCCUCAUCCUGGCUCAGCACCUCAAUGGCCCCAUCCAGGACCUGGACCCUUUGAAUCUUUCAGCUCUGCCACUAUUUGUUGAGGGGUACCGGGGAUCGAACUCAGGUCCUUGCACUUGUGAGGCAGGCAGUGGAGCCACUGAGCUAAAUCCCCGGCCCAGCUCUGCCACUUUUUAAUGGGUUGGUGUAGUUUAUCCACAUGUUGCCUCCUGUAGUAAAAUGGCUCCUGCCGUUCCGUUUGUCACAUCUUCACAUACCAGCAUCCAAAGACAAAAGGAAGAGGACAGGGCUCCCUUCCUGUAAAAUGAGAUUUCUCCCCUCUCUCUCCCGUGUGUGUGUGUGUGUGUGUGUGUGUGUGUGUGUGUGUUUUUU